GGGAGGAGAAGGAAGAGAGGAGGCCGUGUGGCCUGGGGUUGGGCGAAAAGGGAUUAGUUCUUCCGGGCACGUGGGGAGUGUUGUCCCUCAGCCGCGGUGGGAACGGCCGCGGAAGGAAAAGACGAGUUUGAAGUAGGAGAGCUGUCGCUUCCUGCGGGAGGGUCUCGGGCCCAGGAGCCGGCACAGUGGAGACACUCACUCCUAGUAGUAAUAGUGAGUGUUAUGGGGCAUCCUCGGCGAUCGGGAGAUGACUAGUUACACUCGAGAGGAUUUCCACGAGGACCUCAAUACUAAGACACAUCUUUUUGUGUGUCUGGAUUAAAUAAUACUCGAUAUCCUGGCGUUUUUAACUUUGGGGCUCCUCUAGUCCAUUAUACUCAAAGAACAUGGAAAUGAGUGUUAGGAAGGAGACAAAAGGAAAUCGCAGUCUCUGCUUCUAGAACCUUCCUCAAGUACCUCUCACUUCCUAUUUCCUGAGGAGUGACUUGGUGCCCAAGCAACUGCAAAAGUGGACCACACCACCAAGACUGAAUGAACCCUAAUGUAAACUGUGGCCUCUGGGUAACGAUAAUGUGUCAGUGUAGGUUCCUCGAUUGUAAUGACUAUCCCACUGUGGUAGAUGUUGGUGGUGGGGUUGGCUGUGAGUAUAUGGGGGCAGGCGGCAUAGGGAACUCUACCUGCCUCUCAGUUUUGUUGGGAACCUAAAACUGCUCUAAAUAAACUUUAGUAAUUAAAAAAAGUGAA